rnacentral:rRNA from 1 species
UACGUAGGGUGCGAGCGUUGUCCGGAAUUAUUGGGCGUAAAGAGCUCGUAGGCGGUGUGUCGCGUCGGUCGUGAAAACUUGGGGCUUAACCCUGAGCUUGCGGUCGAUACGGGCAUCACUGGAGUUCGGCAGGGGAGACUGGAAUUCCUGGUGUAGCGGUGAAAUGCGCAGAUAUCAGGAGGAACACCGGUGGCGAAAGCGGCUUCCUGGUCCAGCACCGACGUUCAGGCACGAAAGCGUGGGGAGCAAACAGG